AACAGUUGUCUGCCCCAGCAAGCUCCACAGCUCAGGGGCUCUGGAUCCCUGGCCCCUGGACCUGGGCAUGAGUUUGGCUGCAGUUAUGG